GCAAAUCAGGAACAAAAACAAAGUUUCUGGAAAAGCCCAGCAGAACUGAGGGAGGUUCUGUGGAAGGGUCACCGAACCGGAACCGGUUAGCUCUGUUUUUCCGCUGACAAAUGCUGCCAGACCUGCUGAGCUUUUGCAGCAACUUUGUAUUUGUUUUCUGAUUUGCAACAUCCGCAGUUCUUUGGGUUUUUACUCAGUGUUUUAGAGUUUAUUUACAGGGCGCUCUUUAUUUAUCGCGAGCUCUGUCUUUUAGGGUUUAUUUGUGAAGGGCCCUGUCUUACAGAUAGUUUACAGGUCGGCUCAGUAUUCGGGUGCAUGAAGAGGGAAAAAAGCCUUGAAAGUGCCGUUUUUUUUUGCAUGGCAAGCUGCUGAAUACGAACCAGUCUCACACCAUUGCCAUCACCUUGCCCUUGUGAAGGCAGAUAUGGAUAAAGUUUUUAAAGCUGAUAGAAAAUUGAAAGCACUCGCAUCCUGUGACAAUGAUUCUGAUGUCGGUAACUGGAAAGCCUCCAUUGUUGGAGGACGAGAAGCCAUAUCCAAUUGAAGCAGCAUAGGCUUUUGCGAUGACUGUGGAAACCACUGCUUAUGCCUUGCUUCAAGCGUUGUCAAGGAAUGAUAUUGACUUUGCAACACCGAUUGCGAGGUGGCUAACGAUGCAACAGAACUGUGGUGGUGGAUUUCACUCGACGCAGGACACAAUCAUUGCCUUGGAAGCUUCAUCAUGAUACGACAUUGCAUUUCUGAAGAGGGAAGAAGAAAUCAACAUGCAAAUUCAAUUCCAUGGUUUUGGACAUCCC